AAUAGUUACGUGUUAUGUAGGGUUUGUUUUUUCCCUCUUUAUUCUAUUUAGUGUGUCGUUAUCUUGUAUAUAUAUAAACAUAUAUAUAAGAAUCAAAUAUGAAUAACCCAUACAUCAUAUUUAAAACAUUUUUAAACAAUUUGUCUACGAUUUCAAUGAAUAACUCGUAAAAUACAACUAGAACUAGUUAAGUUAUUUUUAGGUUGAUUUUUCUAUUUUGUUAUCUAUUUUUCUGUGUUUUUUAAUAGUUACGUGUUAUGUAGGGUUUGUUUUUUCCCUCUUUAUUCUAGUUAGUUUGUCGUUAUCUUGUAUAUAUAUAAACAUAUAAAUAAGUAUCAAAUAUGAAUAACCCAUACAUCAUAUUUAAAACAUUUUUAAACAAUUGGUUUAUGAUUUCAAUGAAUAACUCGUAAAAUACAACUAGAACUAGUUAUGUUAUUUUUAGGAUGAUUUUUCUAUUUAUGUUAUCUCUUUU
rnacentral:lncRNA from 1 species